rnacentral:rRNA from 1 species
UGCGUAGGUGGUUAUAUUAGUCGCUUGUUAAAUCCCAAGGCUCAACCUUGGACAUGCGGGCGAAACGGUAUAACUAGAGGGAGUGAGAGGUGAAUGGAACUCAUGGUGUAGGGGUGAAAUCCGUUGAUAUCAUGGGGAACACCGAAAGCGAAGGCAAUUCACUGGCACUUUCCUGACACUCAAGCACGAAAGCGUGGUAGCAACG